CCAGGAUUCCAUCCCAGGAAAUCCCCUCCAGCUGCCUCUGCUCAUGAGAGACUCGCCCAGUCUCCUUGUCUCUUCCAGCUCUAACUUUCCUCUUAUUCAUCUCAAUUAGGUGGAGCUAAAUGUUCAAGUUUUCAGGAACCAGUAGUGAGGACUUGUUCCCAAGGAUGCAAGGGUGAGCUGGGUCUGAGAAACCAACCAGAAGGGUUGCCCAGAAGCACUGGGUAUGGAUCAGAGACUUGGUCACCCCAGCAGCUCUGACUUGGCCUCCAGUGUUUGACCCCGCCCCUUUGAAGCACCAUCCAGCACACUCUGCUGGGGUUUUAUGAUGACAUUAAACAAACCUCAACUGCCUUGGCCACCCUCCAGUGUCCACCCUACUCCCUAUCUUGUUAGCUGUCCAAGAGUUGACAGUCCAGAUGUGCAGAUGUGAUGAGCAGGACAGGGAGAAACAGCCUCAAGGUGAGCUGCCUGGCCUUGGGAAGAAAGAGUGGAGGGUACCACCCUUCCCACCCCUUGGUCAGUCUUCAAGAGUAAUUUCUUAGUGAAGCGCCUAUUUCAUGCCCAACCACAAGAUGUCAGCCCAAGCUUAGUCAUCUUGGCAUUUUCCUGGACCACAGAAUACUAUUCUUUUCUCUCUCGGACCAGGACGAGAAACUUUGAGAUCCUGAAGACCCUCAGGGUCAGGUAUAGAAACCACAAAGUCCUCUUGCCCUGGAAGCUCUUCAUGGAUGAGACCCAUGGCCUUCUUGAUCUGAGCAGAUGAAUAAUCUUUGGAUUCCAGGCACUGAACAAAUAACAGUUGAUCACCUUGAGCUCUAAGUAACUUCAAAAGGGCCUCUGCUAACAGCAGGUUGCACAGUCUCCGGAAAAGCCGCCUUUCCUUCCCACUGUGGUCCCCAAGCCUGGGAGGGCACUGGCCUCCUGGCCAAGUGUACCAACUGGUGCGUCCUGCACAAGUACCAGAAACCCUGUGUCCUUACCCCGGCAGAGAGGACACUGAGUACCUGCCUUCCACUGGGUGCAUGAAGGUGGCCCCGGGGCUGGGGCUGGCUCAGCAGCUCACUGAUGCCUUCGUGGAUGAAAAUGGCCUUCUACUUGCAGCCUCCCCUAUGUGUGGGCAGAACCUUCUCUCCCGGGUGUGAAAAGCCUAUGGUUCUCCAAAAAUCACAUUCUUGCCACACAACAGAGAAGGCAAAAAUGAGUGGCUUUUUCUUUCCUUGUGGAUUUUUGUGACGGUGGAAAAAACCUCUUCCAGACACCUUCAUAGCAGAUGUAGGCUUACAACUAACUCACUGGCCAGCCUGAAGUGGUCACCAGCAAGAGGAGCUGAGAUGCCAGGAUCUGUUUAGAUUGGUUAGACCCAUUUCCCAGGGCCUGACACUGCCCCAGACUGAACGAAAUGGGGCUCCAUGAUAAGGCCUGCUGGGGAGGCAGGUAGCAGAAUCUGCUUCACAAGAUAAAACACUGAUGACAAAGAAAAGACCUUCUAAAAAUCCAUCUGAAAUCUAUUCUCAGGAAAUCAACAAUAAAAAUGUAUACUGUGCAGAUAACUUAGUAGUGGAAGCUUUUAAAAAAUAUAACUUAAAUUUUGUGUCUCUCUAUUGACUACUUGCAAGAGUAAUUUGAGAAAAUUUGAUUAUUUUGAAUGCAUUCUUGGCCAAGUCAUUAAGUCUCAAUACAGUGGGGUAAAAACAAGAAAAGUUCUAAAAAAAAAAAAAGCAAGAAAAGUUUUCUAUUUCCCACAUUAUUACCCUCCUUGGCUAUUUGCUGCAUCCCCCGUCCAGUCCUUUAGGCACGUCUUGGGCAGAUUCCACGAUGUUCUAGUCACUUUCAAUUACCAAGAUUCUGCUCAUUUUAAAAUUUUAAUCUCAAUAGCUAUUUAUCUAAUUUUUUGAGGAAGAUUAGACCUGAGCUAACAUCUGCCAUCAAUCCUCCUCUUUUUGCUGACGAAGACUGGCCCUCAGCUAACAUCCAUGCCCAUCUUCCUCUACUUUAUAUGUGGGACACCUGCCACAGCACGGCUUGACAAGCCAUGCGUAGGUCCCAGGAUCUGAGCCAGUGAACCCUGGGCCACCGAAUUGGAACGUGCGAACUUAACCGCGGUGCCACUGGCCCGGCCACAAAAGUAGCUAUUUAAAAAUCUCACCUCUCUCCCUCUCCAAGCAAAGGCCCCACCUGUAGAAUGGAUGAGAUUGUGAUCUGCACUUUUCUUUCUUUACUCUGGCACCUUGGAGCUGGUGAAUGAGAAGACACAGUCCAUCUCUGAACUCUCUCUUGGUCCUCUUUCUUCUCACCUCCAGCUACUCUGAUGUUAGGUGAGGAAGAAGGGAUCAGAGAAAAUAGUAAAAGCCUUUUUCCCAGAGGUGCCAGAACCACAUUCCGGAGACUCCGGAAUCACCUGCCGGGCAUGCCGGAACCACCUCUCAGACGUGCCAGAACCAUGUGCCGGACACGCCGGAACCACCUGCCGAGUAUGCCGGAACCACCUUCUCCACUCCCCAGAACCACCUGCUGGACACGCCGGGACCACCUGCUUGACUCGCCAGAACCACCUGCCGGACACGCCAGAAUCGCCAGCCGGCUACGCCACAACCACUUGUCGGACACUCCAGAAUCACCUGCCGGGCAUGAAGCACAACCUCUCAGAACUUGGGUCCUAAGAUUUACCUCCUGUGCCCUCUUCUAUCCCAUAAAACCAAAUUAGAAGCUCAAGUUCACUAAGUUUCUUAGAAACUCUUGGCGAAGUUCCAGCUGUUUCACUUAACUCACAGGAUUCCUGUUUUCAAUUCAGUUUGGAGAUUACACAUAACUUUUUUUUUUUUGCCAGCUCAAUGAGGAACUUAAAAAAAAAAUUUUAAAAUAUUCCAUACAACAUUAUCAUUGUUUCGAUCAGGAGUGGCAUUCAGCAUACCUAAUAUAAUCUGGCAAGUUAUACAGCCCCACUUCUUUAAUCUUUAGCAAAUAGCCCAGCGCUGCUCAAGAGAACUUUCCCUGAAGGUGGAAAUGUUCCAUACCUCCACUGGCCAGUAUGGACUCCACUAGCGACAUGUGGCUGUUGAGCAUGUGAAAUAU
ensembl:lncRNA